GCGGCGGAGGCGCCGUCGCGUUCCCAGACAAUGCGCCUUUUCAUAUUUCACGCCGCAGUCCGCCGCUUGUAGCGGCCGCCGGUGUACGGGCCUUUCCGGCGGCUGAUGCUUCUAUUCCACGCGCCCGCAUCCUCUAUAUAUGCUUCGAGAAGCAAGCGACCGACGACAGGACAACAUGGGCGGAGCCUCGAAUCGAGACACACGUGCAGACACCACUAUGGAAGGCUUCACACGCUCGAUAUCAGCAGCAAGCCCGCGACCCCAACAAACUUCCGGUCACGUGCCUUAUCAGUCUACUAUACGGGAACAAACUCGUGUUUUAAGUUGUUCCAGUGUGCGGAAGAUGCUUCUGUGUUUUCAGAUGAAAUAAAGGCGCGUAAUGUCUCGCGA